GCCCGGCUAGCUCAGUCGGUAGAGCAUGAGACUCUUACUCUCGGGGGCAUGAGUUCGAGCCCCACGUUGGGCA